CCUGGCUCACGUUGAAGGCUAGCUACAGGCUUAACACAUGCAAGUCGAGGGGCAGCAUGGUCUUAGCUUGCUAAGGCCGAUGGCGACCGGCGCACGGGUGAGUAACACGUAUCCAACCUGCCGUCUACUCUUGGACAGCCUUCUGAAAGGAAGAUUAAUACAAGAUGGCAUCAUGAGUCCGCAUGUUCACAUGAUUAAAGGUAUUCCGGUAGACGAUGGGGAUGCGUUCCAUUAGAUAGUAGGCGGGGUAACGGCCCACCUAGUCUUCGAUGGAUAGGGGUUCUGAGAGGAAGGUCCCCCACAUUGGAACUGAGACACGGUCCAAACUCCUACGGGAGGCAGCAGUGAGGAAUAUUGGUCAAUGGGCGAGAGCCUGAACCAGCCAAGUAGCGUGAAGGAUGACUGCCCUAUGGGUUGUAAACUUCUUUUAUAAAGGAAUAAAGUCGGGUAUGCAUACCCGUUUGCAUGUACUUUAUGAAUAAGGAUCGGCUAACUCCGUGCCAGCAGCCGCGGUAAUACGGAGGAUCCGAGCGUUAUCCGGAUUUAUUGGGUUUAAAGGGAGCGUAGAUGGAUGUUUAAGUCAGUUGUGAAAGUUUGCGGCUCAACCGUAAAAUUGCAGUUGAUACUGGAUAUCUUGAGUGCAGUUGAGGCAGGCGGAAUUCGUGGUGUAGCGGUGAAAUGCUUAGAUAUCACGAAGAACUCCGAUUGCGAAGGCAGCCUGCUAAGCUGCAACUGACAUUGAGGCUCGAAAGUGUGGGUAUCAAACAGGAUUAGAUACCCUGGUAGUCCACACGGUAAACGAUGAAUACUCGCUGUUUGCGAUAUACAGCAAGCGGCCAAGCGAAAGCGUUAAGUAUUCCACCUGGGGAGUACGCCGGCAACGGUGAAACUCAAAGGAAUUGACGGGGGCCCGCACAAGCGGAGGAACAUGUGGUUUAAUUCGAUGAUACGCGAGGAACCUUACCCGGGCUUAAAUUGCAGAUGAAUUACGGUGAAAGCCGUAAGCCGCAAGGCAUCUGUGAAGGUGCUGCAUGGUUGUCGUCAGCUCGUGCCGUGAGGUGUCGGCUUAAGUGCCAUAACGAGCGCAACCCUUGUUGUCAGUUACUAACAGGUUCCGCUGAGGACUCUGACAAGACUGCCAUCGUAAGAUGUGAGGAAGGUGGGGAUGACGUCAAAUCAGCACGGCCCUUACGUCCGGGGCUACACACGUGUUACAAUGGGGGGUACAGAGGGCCGCUACCACGCGAGUGGAUGCCAAUCCCAAAAACCUCUCUCAGUUCGGACUGGAGUCUGCAACCCGACUCCACGAAGCUGGAUUCGCUAGUAAUCGCGCAUCAGCCACGGCGCGGUGAAUACGUUCCCGGGCCUUGUACACACCGCCC
rnacentral:rRNA from 1 species